rnacentral:rRNA from 1 species
UACGUAGGGUGCAAGCGUUGUCCGGAAUUAUUGGGCGUAAAGAGCUCGUAGGCGGUUUGUCGCGUCUGCUGUGAAAACUCGGGGCUUAACUCCGGCCUGCAGUGGGUACGGGCAGACUAGAGUGCGGUAGGGAGACUGGAAUUCCUGGUGUAGCGGUGAAAUGCGCAGAUAUCAGGAGGAACACCGGUGGCGAAAGCGGCUUCCUGGUCCAGCACCGACGUUCAGGCACGAAAGCGUGGGGAGCAA